rnacentral:rRNA from 1 species
UACGUAGGGUCCGAGCGUUGUCCGGAAUUACUGGGCGUAAAGAGCUCGUAGGCGGUUUGUCGCGUCGUCCGUGAAAACUCACAGCUCAACUGUGGGCGUGCGGGCGAUACGGGCAGACUGGAGUGCUGCAGGGGAGACUGGAAUUCCUGGUGUAGCGGUGGAAUGCGCAGAUAUCAGGAGGAACACCGGUGGCGAAGGCGGGUCUCUGGGCAAUUCCUGACGCUGAGGCGCGAAAGCGUGGGGAGCAAACGGG